GGAAGGCUGUAGCUCAGUGGUACAGCAUCUGCUGUACAUGCAGAAGGUCCCAGGUUCAAUCCCUGGCAAUUCCC
rnacentral:tRNA from 1 species